AGCUCGAGUUUCUCUUCAUUGUCGCAUAAAUCUUUCACCUUUUACUAAAGAUUUCCGUGGAGGGGAGCUUUUGCGAGUGACCUGUAUUUUUGGGGGCUCUGCUCACAGCAGAGCU
rnacentral:snRNA from 1 species